rnacentral:snRNA from 1 species
GGAUGUGAUGGCUGCGACAUCUGUCACCCCACUGAUUGCCAGGGUUGAUUCAGCUUAUCUGGCUGGCUAGGCAGCUGCCCCCUUCCUUCCUCACGACUCCAAGUGUACCCUUCCCGACGCUGCGUGGUGUGUCACAAAGGACAACCAUUCCCAAUAGAGGAGGACCAGUCUUCCAUCAAGGCUAUUUAUGUAGCUGCACUCCAGUGAGAACCUCCAAACAAGCUCUCAAAAAUGCAAACUGGUUGGGUGUGGUGGCUCAUGUCGGUAAUCCCAGCACUUUGGGAGGCUGAGGCAGGCAGAUCACUAAG